rnacentral:rRNA from 1 species
CGGCAUGCCUUACACAUGCAAGUCGAACGCGAAAGGGGGCAACCCUGAGUAGAGUGGCGAACGGGUGAGUAAUGCAUCGGAACGUGUCCUGUAGCGGGGGACAACCCCGAGAAAUCGGGGCUAAUACCGCAUACGUCCUAAGGGAGAAAGUGGGGACCGCAAGGCCUCACGCUAUAGGGGCGGCCGAUGCCGGAUUAGCUUGUUGGUGAGGUAAAAGCUCACCAAGGCGACGAUCCGUAGCUGGUCUGAGAGGAUGAUCAGCCACACUGGGACUGAGACACGGCCCAGACUCCUACGGGAGG